UUUUAUUUAAUUUCUUAUUUUUCUUUACUCAAUUUCUUUCGUAUUUAAAUUGUAUUCCUAUAAAUUCAAUAUUUGUUUGAGUUAAGUGAAUCACCUCUCUUGAAGAUUCUUAGCACAGAAAAAAAAUUUUACAGACUGAUGCUAGUAUUCUAAAACUGUCAGAACAGGACAAAGUGUGAAAAAAAAUUACUACACAUCUUUGUGAAAUUAACACUAUAAACCCCUUGUUCCGAGCAGAAGAAGUAUUGAAUUAGUAAAUUUUAAAUGCCAAGGACCAAAAUAAUUUUCUUGAGAAUAUUGAUUCAAAGAUUGACCUGGUGGUUAGUCAAACUCAACUAAUAGAAACGAAGAUCGAUACUCUAUCAAUCCAGGUUCAUUAAUUGUAUGUGAACCUCCAAUUCCAGAUACCCUUACCUUUUUCCAUUGAGGGAUAAAAAGAGAAGAAAUCUCCAAAGUGACAUACUGUUCGUCAAUAGUAGAUCUGAGAGCACAAUGAUUCAAACAGGAAAUGAUCCAACAAAAAUAUCCUCAGAAUCCGAAUAAGGCAACAAAUAUGAUCCAACAAAUCCAUCAUUUGCAAAAGCCG
rnacentral:misc_RNA from 1 species